GAUGAAGAACGUAUUGAAAUGCGAUAAGUAAUGUGAAUUGCAGAAUUCAGUGAAUCAUCGAAUCUUUGAACGCACAUUGCGCCCCCUGGUAUUCCGGGGGGCAUGCCUGUCCGAGCGUCAUUACAACCCUCAAGCUCAGCUUGGUAUUGGGCCCCGCCGACCCGGCGGGCCCUAAAGUCAGUGGCGGUGCCGUCCGGCUCCGAGCGUAGUAAUUCUUCUCGCUCUGGAGGUCCGGUCGUGUGCUCGCCAGCAACCCCCAAUUUUUUUCAGGUUGACCUCGGAUCAGGUAGGGAUACCCGCUGAACUUAAGCAUAUCAAUAAGCGGAGGA
rnacentral:misc_RNA from 1 species